UAACAUCCGGAAACGGGUGCUAAUACCGCAUAGUUUUCUUGAUCGCAUGAUCGGGAAAGGAAAGACGGGCCUUUGUGCUGUCGCUUAUGGAUGGACCCGCGGCGUAUUAGUAGUUGGUGAGGUAACGGCUCACCAAGACGAUGAUACGUAGCCGACCUGAGAGGGUGAUCGGCCACAUUGGGACUGAGACACGGCCCAAACUCCUACGGGAGGCAGCAGUAGGGAAUCUUCCGCAAUGGACGAAAGUCUGACGGAGCAACGCCGCGUGAGUGAAGAAGGGUUUUUUCCGGAUCGUAAAACUCUGUUGUCAGAGAAGAACAAGUUGGAGAGUAACUGCUCCAGCCUUGACGGUAUCUGACCAGAAAGCCACGGCUAACUACGUGCCAGCAGCAGC
rnacentral:rRNA from 1 species